UUUUCAGUAAUUCAGUUCAAGAUCAGCAGAAGAUUUAUGCUGUUGUUUGAUAAUUUUUUUGAAGUUGCGGUUUUUUGAUAUCCUUUCCUCAUGUAAUAUAAUUUUUUAGCUCUUCUUUAUUCUUGUACAUAUUUUUUGCCGAAGUUUUGUAGAUAUUAUUAUAGUUUCAUUUCAAUGAAUUUUAUAUGAAGUUUUGGAUUUUCUUAGUAGCUUCUGCUGGAGACCGGAGUCUAAACACGUUGAUGGUCUAGUAGCAGGCGUAGUUUUUGAAAUUACGUGCUGGAAACAGAGAGUGAGCCACUGGCGAUGACCCUAUAUGACCCCGGAAGCGAAAUGUUAUUCAGAAAUUCAGAUAAAUUUCAGCUUCGAAAAUUUGAUUGGUUUUGGGUAAGAAAUUUUCAAUUUCAGUUCCAAACCAAUCAAAUUUUCGAAAAUUUAGUAGGGAAUGAUGUAGCAGUACCAUCAGUACAACCCUCUGCCGUAAGAACGGCAGACAGAAAAGAUGAAUUCGCCAAUAUUUUAGCGUGCCAUAAUUAUGGUUGGCUUAUCUUCUCGCGCUACGCCUCGACCUAAUUAUGUCAUGGGUUGAGCGCCACCCCUUAUGGGAGACUUUCAAAAUACUUUGCCUUGACCUGUUAUGAGAUCCGCACAAGAAGGAAGAAUCUUCAGAUGCUAAAGUUUGCGACAAGAGCACUUUUUUGACUCGAACGGGAGGUCGAUGCACUCCAGUUCGGCAGUCAGAGAUUGCAAAUUCUUAAGAGAUGCUUCGGCUAAACUCGCGCAAUUAUUGCAAUUGUAAUGUUGCUCGAGUUCUAGACAACCGAAGUUGUUCUAAUUGCACCUCUACUGAGGGUUCUAGGACUUCGACUCGGUCACUUUUACCCUGAUCGUGGAGGAAGCAGGAGUGGUCGAAGGACCGUUUUGGUAUCGUUUAGUGAAGAUCUCGCGGCUAGGUAGUAGGAGUAGGGUAGUGGCGAAUCAGGUGGAAACCCUGACACUCCAGGUGGCAACCGGCAUCAUCCGCAGCAGAGCGACCACUCCAACCGACAACCCAGCGCUUUUGGACUCCACCAAGGGGUCGAAGUUCCGGGGUGAACCCCCAAGCAGCUCGUCCGUCAACACACGAGCUGGGCGGCGUCCGUCAACACACGCCGCGGUCGAACCCUCGACCACCAACCGACCGGACCGGAACGGCCUCGUGGAGGCCUAGGUACACCACCAAGUUCCCGCGCGCAUCCGCGCCGUCGUCGCAACCGACGCCAACAUCGCAGCCUCGUAGCUGCACACCUGUGCGCCCCCGCACACCGGAAGUGAUGCUGAGCACCCGCCGAUAGUGCCAACCCGUCUGCUGUUAGCCGCCGGCGGAAUCAUCUCGCCGUAGCCGAAGCUGUAAGCGCGCCACCACCUGAUCGCCGGAUCGCCAACCAACAACACACGUAAAACCAUGGUCGUGUAAGUACUUUUUCCCCCGACAUGCGCAUGAUCGAUCGUUGGCCAACACUUUUUCUGCCAACCCAGUGGGCAACAUAAGCCACCCCCAUGUUAUGUUGCGUGAUCGC